GUUGUGUUCUGGAUUGGAGGGUGCUUCUUGUUUGAUUUAAACUUGGGUAUUUGCUUGCUUUGGAGUACUUACUUUUAUGUGCAUUUUUGUUUGUGGCUGUUCUUUGGGAACAUAUGAUUGAUUAUUCAUCUAAGAUGGGUUGGCUUGGGCCUUCUAUUUUAUUUCAUCGAGGAGUUGAGAACUAGAUGAAAUUUAGCAAAUCAUGGAUUACUAAUUGUAGCAAAUAUGGUUUUAUUAUUUCUAAUAUUUAUACUAAUUAUGAUUAUACUUUUUUUUUAAAAAAUUAAAUUCAGUUGUUUAUGCUACUUCUUCUUCCAGUGCGUACUUCAGUCAUUGUCAGAUUAAUUAACUAGAAAUUAAAGAAAGAGAAAUGAUAGUGCAAUCCCAGCUUGUUGCAUUUAAAAGGAAAGAAAACAAUGCUCUGAUUAGAAGACAGUGUCAGAGGGAAAACAAGAAUAUCUGACAAUGAAGUUGGAAAAGGCCAGCAAGUGUAUCAUAACAUUGCUUGAGAAAUGGAGCUAAAUAUCUGUAUUCCCAAUAGCAUUGGAUUUCCACAAUCCACAUGCACUUAACAUUUGAAGACUUAGGCUUCUCAAUUUCAAAUUGACCCUCUUGGGUUGUACUAUUUGCUGGUUUUGACUUUUGAGUUGUAUAAGGAUACAAGUUCCAAAGCCUAGUGUCAAAUGUAAGGUUGGUUACAAAGAAACUGCUGUCCCAAGUCCCAACAGGCUUAAUUUGGCGGUUGACUCUCUUGUCAUUGAGUCAUUGAUAACUAAUCAACUUUCAUUGCCAGUAAGAGUAUUUCAGAUAAUAUCCUCCUUUGUAAUGAGAUAGUUAGAGGGUUUGACAGAAAA